CCUACUCCCUCGUCGUGCCUUCGUCCGUCCCACGACUACGGCCGCGUCGACAUCUCGGCACGACGAACGACUGGCGGCGCGCCUAACACAUGCAAGUACGAACGGAGGUUAUUUUGGUUCGUGAAGUUUUACGGUUAGUGGACGGCCGGGACGUAACUUAAGUUGGCGAACGGGUAGGAGUAACAACGUGAGGAACCGUACGCCCUUCGUAGUGGGGACGGAACAAGUUGGUAAACGGAACUGCUAAUAACCGCCAUAAGACCCACCAGAGCCGCCAUGGCGUCAGGNGGGAAAAAGGAGCAAUUCGCUUAAGGAUGGACUCGCGUCCAAUUAGGUAGAUGGUGAGGUAACGGCCCACCAUGCCGACGAUUGGUAGC
rnacentral:rRNA from 1 species